CCUACGGGGGGCAGCAGUGAGGAAUAUUGGUCAAUGGGCGCAAGCCUGAACCAGCCAAGUCGCGUGAGGGAUGACGGUCCUAUGGAUUGUAAACCUCUUUUGUCGGGGAGCAAGGCCCGCCACGUGUGGCGGGCAGGAGAGUACCCGAAGAAAAAGCAUCGGCUAACUCCGUGCCAGCAGCCGCGGUAAUACGGAGGAUUCGAGCGUUAUCCGGAUUUAUUGGGUUUAAAGGGAGCGUAGGCGGGUUGUUAAGUCAGUUGUGAAAGUUUGCGGCUCAACCGUAAAAUUGCAGUUGAUACUGGCAUCCUUGAGUACAGUAGAGGUAGGCGGAAUUCGUGGUGUAGCGGUGAAAUGCUUAGAUAUCACGAAGAACUCCGAUUGCGAAGGCAGCCUGCUGGACUGUAACUGACGCUGAUGCUCGAAAGUGUGGGUAUCAAACAGGAUUAGAUACCCCUGUAGUC
rnacentral:rRNA from 1 species